rnacentral:lncRNA from 1 species
CUACUGAAUUUUACUCAUGAAAGAAGGCUGGAGGAGGACAUCAGUCAUUUUGUUUACAGAGGGGGAGUGGCUACCCUCUGUGCCUGCAAAGAACUUUCAUUCCCAGCAGAACACACAGGGGCAGAGAAGGGCUGAGAGCCUUUCCCUUGCCAAUCAGCCAUGCAGCCAAUGAGCAGUUGCUCACUUCAGCCUCAGAGCGAGUCUCUCAUGCCAGGUCAUCAGCCAGGCAGUGGAAAUAUCACUGUCAGGACCAGGCUUCCUGCAAUUCUUGCUCCAGCAGUUAUGAAUAGAGCAUCAGGGCUCAUUUUGGCUCAUAAAUGGAGCACAGUGAAAAUAGAAUCCACUACUGCCUAUGAGAUCUAACAAAUAUAAUGUACAAUUCUGGAGCAGAUUGUUGCUACAGCUGAGCCUGCUUUGAGUAGAAAUGCUCACAGCAUGGGCUCAAAAGGCUCAGGGCAGAGUUUGUGCUCUGAGACUGCUCCCUGCAACCACAAGGACACGCAGCACAGCCACGAGCCACAAGCAUGGCUCCACCGUCUCUGCCAGAGCAGCCAGGAGAGACACACAACUUGGGAACACGAUGAUUUGUCUCAAAAAUGGUAACUGUUAUCUUGUACCCAAGGUCCUGAUUUAAAGUUGUUUCUAUUGAUUAAUGUUCUCUCUUCUCUGCAUGUCAAGAUGACACAGGUGAUUCAUUCGUUUGUAGAUAAAACAUUUUUGUGUUUCAGUGGAAAACUGCACUGCCUAUCCCAUGCCCUCUGAGUUAUCAGAUUGCAGCCUGGUCCAUUAUCUCCCAGCAAUUUUGAAACUCUUUGUAAAUUGCAGGGAGUGGCAGUGUUAUUCCUCCAGUGGCCAGCAUCUUCAUAACCCAGUGAAUGACAUGGUCAGCCACCCAUCUUGCAGAUUGACCUGGAAGUCUCAACUUGUGGAUUCCUUAUUUCUCAUACUGGUUGAGAGGACCAUCAGAAUACCUCUUGAAGCUCCCAUAGAAGUGUGACCCUUUCUUUCAGAGGACUGUUUCAGUUUAAAAGUAAACAGUGAUUUGUCUGGUUAUUUGGCUAAUGUCUGAACAUGGGUGCUAGACUGUAAGACACGUGAGAUGAGAGUUUAAGUCUGUUCUUGACCUCUAGCCACAAGCUCUAGGUGCUCAAUCACUAUCUGCUGGAAGAAUUCAUUCACAUAGUUUCUCAGCCUUUUAUGGUGAUAGUUAAUAUAAGCAAAGGAUACUGCCUGAUUUUAAGUGUAGGUAAUGCCUUUGCAGGACAGAGAUAGACAGUGUGAAUGUUAUCAAACCAAAUUCAGGUCUGCUUGCCCAGACAAGAAAACCAAACACUGAUGCUGGAAUCACAGUGAGAGAAAGUGAAAGUGAGACAUUUAUUGCAAGGCACCAAGCAAGGAGCACUGGGCAGCUCAUGUCUAAGACCUGAACUCCCUGAUAGUUUACAGGUAAGGGUUUUAAAGGUGGAGAGGCAGAGGUUACAGGCAGUCAUAAAUGAAUACAUGGGAGCUGUAUAUCAGUUUGACCUAAAAACACAGGACAUCUCAAAUCUCGAAUUGGAGGGGGACAGGUCAUCGGUGGAUUCAAAGAUUUUCUGAUCUGCAGUUGGUGAAGAAAGUAAAGUUUUCCUAAAAAUUUGGGAUCAACAGACAAGAAUGUUAGCUGGAGCUCAUGGGUGUGGCUUCCUUUCUCUGUGGGUGUAGCCACUCAGGAAGAAACUGAGAUCACAGAACAGCAGUCACCAUUCAGUCCUCAGUUCCCCCUUAUCUGAGGUCUAUGGGCCAGAGAAUCCCUUUAGUGAAAGUCUGAGUUUCUGAAAGCAACUCAGAGACAGAUGCUAAGAUGGCUUCUUUAACUUCUGUAGAGAACCAAAAAUUCCCUUGACUCUGACUUCCUCAGCUAUUGUCUUAAGCAACUCUUACCUUCUCACUUACCAGUUUGCUCACUGACUGCUCAAGGUUAGCCAGGUGCCUGGAAUGUUCCUGGAAGAAAUUCAAGAUUUUCCUUUAUUUCCAUGCUUAGGGGGCAAAAGGUCCCUGCUCCAUCUCAUGAAGAACAGUUUUAGUGUCAGAUGUACC